UACGUAGGUGGCAAGCGUUGUCCGGAAUUAUUGGGCGUAAAGCGCGCGCAGGCGGUCCUUUAAGUCUGAUGUGAAAGCCCACGGCUCAACCGUGGAGGGUCAUUGGAAACUGGGGGACUUGAGUGCAGGAGAGAAGAGUGGAAUUCCUGGUGUAGCGGUGAAAUGCGCAGAUAUCAGGAAGAACACCCGUGGCGAAGGCGGCUCUCUGGAACGCAACUGACGCUGAGACGCGAAAGCGUGGGGAGCAAACAGG
rnacentral:rRNA from 1 species